GAUGAACGCUAGCUACAGGCUUAACACAUGCAAGUCGAGGGGCAGCGGGAUUGUAGCAAUACAAUUGCCGGCGACCGGCGCACGGGUGAGUAACACGUAUCCAACCUUCCGGUUACUCGGGGAUAGCCUUUCGAAAGAAAGAUUAAUACCCGAUAGUAUAAAUUUUCCGCAUGGUUUGUUUAUUAAAGAUUCAUCGGUAACCGAUGGGGAUGCGUUCCAUUAGAUAGUAGGCGGGGUAACGCCCACCUAGUCGACGAUGGAUAGGGGUUCUGAGAGGAAGGUCCCCCCACAUUGGAACUGAGACACGGCCCAGACUCCUACGGGAGGCAGCAGUGGGGGAUAUUGCACAAUGGGGGAAACCCUGAUGCAGCGACGCCGCGUGGAGGAAGAGGUUUUUCGGAUUGUAAACUCCUGUCGUUAGGGACGAUAAUGACGGUA
rnacentral:rRNA from 1 species